AUGACAGGAUGUAAUGGAGGGGGGGGGUAUUACUUGAAUUGCAUUUCAAAACAGCUAUGGGGUCUUUAUAAAAAGGAUAGGUCUAAACCACUGGGAACUCAGAACUCGAAAAUCUCCGACUUCAGUGCGUUCAAGAGAACUGGGAAAUCUCCAACUGGGAAAAAAGUUUUGAACGGUCAUCCAACUCGGAAUUCGCUGUCGGAAACUCUGGCAUAUUUCUAGAGCUCCGGCUUUCCGACCUGAAGAUAUCUGACGUCAUGAUUUGACCUCGUUUUUUCCGAGUUCCCAGUUGUUUUGAAAGCGCCAAUUGUUGUUAUUCGUCUGGAACGAAUAUAAACGCGUCCCUGUUUAAGUUUACGACCAAUAGGAUUUAACUGAAUCGUUUGCGUUUAAACUUUAACCCCUAUGUUACUGGCUAUAGUUUAUAGGCUACAUGCAGUUUAUGGUCUUCUUUAUUGGCAGACACUCAGAAUUUCAACGAAUACCGUGCGGAUUCCCAUCGAAAAUGAUUUUCUUACACUGGAAGUAAAUGAUCUAUGUGUGUAAUACUCAUAUGGUGUUUUGUUAUUUAAAUCUACUUCAUGUAGUACUUGUUCCAUAAUCGACUGACGUGGGGACCUCGGAGGGUUGGUCGAGAAAGCCUGGAUGACUGGAUACUACGCUGAGCCUCGCAGUACAGUAACCCUACUCAUGCUUUUGUUUAUAGACUUUCAAGUGGUUAUCGCUUUGGUUACAUAUUUCAACAAUGUCGCAACUGGCCUGUAAACAAAGAAAGACGACGUGCUGUAAUUUAUUUUCCCGAAAACUCAUGGUCGUGGAUAGUCUACAUUGAAUACGAUUAUUGUCAACCAAAUAACCAGCGUCAUUGAUCCAGGUGGACGUUUACUAACUGUUCAGGCAGGUUUCUGCACGCUCUCUGUUUAAAGGUUAGGCUACUUGUACCGUAAAUGGAGGUUUGUCUUGACUAAUUUUUGUAUUACCAUUUUAUUAUUGUUAGGCCUAAUCGCAAUCAACAAAAUAAUCCAUGUUUAA
rnacentral:lncRNA from 13 species